AAAUAAAAGAGUAAAUUAAUCAUUUCUGUUAAAAACUGGCGUGAUUGAUGGAAUAGCUAGAUAUUGGCACAUGACAUGUCACGUGUACCUCGUACCGACGUAUACUGACCAAUUUUUAACAAAAGGACUAAUUUGCUCUUUGAUGU
rnacentral:pre_miRNA from 1 species